GGCNGCNGUCGACGAUUCCUACGGGAGGCAGCAGUGGGGAAUUUUGGACAAUGGGCGCAAGCCUGAUCCAGCCAUGCCGCGUGUGUGAAGAAGGCCUUCGGGUUGUAAAGCACUUUCGGACGGAACGAAAUCGCGCGCAUGAACAAUGCGCGUGGAUGACGGUACCGUAAGAAGAAGCACCGGCUAACUACGUGCCAGCAGCCGCGGUAAUACGUAGGGUGCAAGCGUUAAUCGGAAUUACUGGGCGUAAAGGGUGCGCAGGCGGCCCCGCAUGUCAGGCGUGAAAUCCCCGGGCUCAACCUGGGAAUGGCGUCUGAAACUACGGGGCUGGAGUGUGGCAGAGGGAGGUGGAAUUCCACGUGUAGCGGUGAAAUGCGUAGAGAUGUGGAGGAACACCGAUGGCGAAGGCAGCCUCCUGGGCCAACACUGACGCUCAUGCACGAAAGCGUGGGGAGCAAACAGGAUUAGAUACCCUGGUAGUCCACGCCCUAAACGAUGACGACUAGUUGUUGGGGGAGUUAAAUCCCUUAGUAACGCAGCUAACGCGUGAAGUCGUCCGCCUGGGGAGUACGGUCGCAAGAUUAAAACUCAAAGGAAUUGACGG
rnacentral:rRNA from 1 species